UCCUACGGGGGGCAGCAGUGGGGAAUCUUGCGCAAUGGGCGAAAGCCUGACGCAGCCAUGCCGCGUGAAUGAUGAAGGUCUUAGGAUUGUAAAAUUCUUUCACCGGGGACGAUAAUGACGGUACCCGGAGAAGAAGCCCCGGCUAACUUCGUGCCAGCAGCCGCGGUAAUACGAAGGGGGCUAGCGUUGCUCGGAAUUACUGGGCGUAAAGGGCGCGUAGGCGGACAUUUAAGUCAGGGGUGAAAUCCCAGAGCUCAACUCUGGAACUGCCUUUGAUACUGGGUGUCUUGAGUGUGAGAGAGGUAUGUGGAACUCCGAGUGUAGAGGUGAAAUUCGUAGAUAUUCGGAAGAACACCAGUGGCGAAGGCGACAUACUGGCUCAUUACUGACGCUGAGGCGCGAAAGCGUGGGGAGCAAACAGGAUUAGAUACCCGGGUAC
rnacentral:rRNA from 1 species